AAAAGUCUAGUUCUACCGAAGUUUGACCAGGAAGUUGACUUAACAUCAACGUUAUUUAAUGUACCAAGGCUUUCGACUAAAAAAGAUAACAAUGUGUCGAAAAAGAGGAAACCCAAAUCCAGAAUAUUUAAUUGGAAUAGCUCAAAUGUUUUAAAAGAACUUAAAGUUCGUAUUGUCAGCGACACGGAUUGCAAAUAGCAACAUUCAGACGUCUAUUACGAUGAAAAACAUCAAAUAUGCUAUGUGACAUUUUCUCAGGAAAAUGACAAUUCCGAGUGUAAUCUGAUACGAGGUUUGCCCAUAAUGAGCAGAAUCAAUGAGAAAUGGACAAUAGUAGGUGUUACAACUUCAGCAGGAAAUAUUUGCGGAAGACCUUUCCAGUCGGCAUUUAGAGUUUCAUUUGUAAGAAGCUGGAUAAAUUCAGUUACUGGUUAAAUUGUGUGAGAAAGCCAAAUAGAUCACAAGUAUGUCAAUAAAUGAUAUAGAAUUC